rnacentral:rRNA from 1 species
UACGUAGGGUGCGAGCGUUAAUCGGAAUUACUGGGCGUAAAGCGUGCGCAGGCGGUUUUGUAAGACAGGUGUGAAAUCCCCGGGCUUAACCUGGGAACUGCGCUUGUGACUGCAAGACUCGAGUACGGCAGAGGGGGGUAGAAUUCCACGUGUAGCAGUGAAAUGCGUAGAGAUGUGGAGGAACACCGACGGCGAAGGCAGCCCCCUGGGCUAACACUGACGCUCAUGCACGAAAGCGUGGGGAGCAAACAGG